rnacentral:misc_RNA from 1 species
GAUGAAGAACGUAGUAAAAUGCGAUAAGUAAUGUGAAUUGCAGAAUUCAGUGAAUCAUCGAAUCUUUGAACGCACAUUGCGCCCGCCAGUAUUCUGGCGGGCAUGCCUGUUCGAGCGUCAUUUCAACCCUCAAGCACAGCUUGGUGUUGGGACUCGCGUUAAUUCGCGUUCCCCAAAUUGAUUGGCGGUCACGUCGAGCUUCCAUAGCGUAGUAGUAAAACCCUCGUUACUGGUAAUCGUCGCGGCCACGCCGUUAAACCCCAACUUCUGAAUGUUGACCUCGGAUCAGGUAGGAAUACCCGCUGAACUUAAGCAUAUCAAUAAGCGGAGGA